UACGGAGGAUGCGAGCGUUAUCCGGAUUUAUUGGGUUUAAAGGGUGCGUAGGCGGGAUGCCAAGUCAGCGGUAAAAAUGCGGUGCUCAACGCCGUCGAGCCGUUGAAACUGGCGUUCUUGAGUGGGCGUGAAGUAUGCGGAAUGCGUGGUGUAGCGGUGAAAUGCAUAGAUAUCACGCAGAACUCCGAUUGCGAAGGCAGCAUACCGGCGCCCUACUGACGCUGAGGCACGAAAGCGUGGGUAUCGAACAGG
rnacentral:rRNA from 1 species